AACAUGCAGUCGAGCGCGGCGCGUGGCUUCGGUCACGCGUCUAGCGGCGCACGGGUGAGUAACACGUGGGCAACCCACCUUUGAGUUCGGGAUAGCCCUGGGAAACCAGGAUUAAUACCGGAUGUGGUCACGACGGGACAUCCCGACGUGAGUAAAGGCGCAAGCCGCUCAAUGACGGGCUCGCGGCCUAUUAGCUUGUUGGUGGGGUAACGGCCUACCAAGGCGAUGAUGGGUAGCUGGUCUGAGAGGACGAUCAGCCACACUGGGACUGAGACACGGCCCAGACUCCUACGGGAGGCAGCAGUUAGGAAUUUUCCGCAAUGGGCGAAAGCCUGACGGAGCAACGCCGCGUGUGUGAUGAAGGCCUUCGGGUUGUAAAGCACUGUCGGAGGGGAAGAAUGAAUGACGGUACCCCCCAAGAAAGCCCCGGCUAACUACGUGCCAGCAGCCGCGGUAAUACGUAGGGGGCGAGCGUUAUCCGGAUUUACUGGGCGUAAAGCGCGUUAAGGCGGUUGGCAAAGUUGGUGGUGAAAUUUCAGGGCUCAACCCUGAAACUGCCUCCAAUACUGGUCGACUUGAGUGUGGGAGAGGAAGGUGGAAUUCCCGGUGUAGUAGUGAAAUGCGUAGAUAUCGGGAGGAACACCAGUGGCGAAGGCGGCCUUCUGGCUCACAACUGACGCUGUAGCGCGAAAGCGUGGGGAGCGAACGGGAUUAGAUACCCCGGUAGUCCACGCUGUAAACGAUGUGCACUAGGUGUUGGGCGUAUUGACGCGCUCAGUGCCGCAGCUAACGCAUUAAGUGCACCGCCUGGGGAGUACNGGCCGCAAGGGUUAAAACUCAAAGGAAUUGACGG
rnacentral:rRNA from 1 species